GUGCUCACUUUAGUAGUACAUAUAUAAAAUUGGAACGAUACAGAGAAGAUUAGCAUGGCCUCUGUGUAAGGAUGACACGCAAAUUCAUGAAGCGUUCCAUAUUUCU
ensembl:snRNA RNU6-738P RNA, U6 small nuclear 738, pseudogene